UACGAGGGGGGCGAGCGUUGUUCGGAAUUAUUGGGCGUAAAGGGUGCGUAGGCGGUUUGGUAAGUCUUAUGUGAAAUCUACAGGCUCAACUUGUAGUCUGCAUGAGAAACUGCCGGGCUUGAGUGUGGGAGAGGUGAGUGGAAUUCCUGGUGUAGCGGCGAAAUGCGUAGAUAUCAGGAGGAACACCUGUGGCGAAAGCGGCUCACUGGACCAUAACUGACGCUGAUGCACGAAAGCUAGGGGAGCAAACAGG
rnacentral:rRNA from 1 species